UACGGGGGGGGUAAGCGUUGUUCGAAAUUACUGGGCGUAAAGCGCACGUAGGCGGCUUUGCAAGUCGGAUGUGAAAUCCCUCGGCUUAACCAAGGAAGUGCAUCCGAAACUGCAGAGCUUGAGUACUUAAGGAGGAUGCGGAAUUCCCGGUGUAGAGGUGAAAUUCGUAGAUAUCGGGAAGGAACACCAGUGGCGGAAGGCGACUUCCUGGCCUGUUCUUGACGCUGAGGCGCGAAAGCUAGGGGAGCAAACGGG
rnacentral:rRNA from 1 species